UACGUAGGGUGCGAGCGUUGUCCGGAAUUACUGGGCGUAAAGAGCUCGUAGGUGGUUUGUCGCGUUGUCCGUGAAAACUCACAACUCAAUUGUGGGCGUGCGGGCGAUACGGGCAGACUGGAGUACUGCAGGGGAGACUGGAAUUCCUGGUGUAGCGGUGGAAUGCGCAGAUAUCAGGAGGAACACCAGCGGCGAAGGCGGCGCUCUGGGCCGGAACUGACGCUGAGGAGCGAAAGCGUGGGUAGCAAACAGG
rnacentral:rRNA from 1 species